UACGUAGGGGGCAAGCGUUGUCCGGAUUUAUUGGGCGUAAAGAGCUCGUAGGCGGUUUGGUAAGUCUGGUGUGAAAUCUCCACGCUCAACGUGGAGGGGCCAUUCGAAACUGCCGUGACUCGAGUCCGGUAGGGGAGUGUGGAAUUCCCGGUGUAGUGGUGAAAUGCGUAGAGAUCGGGAGGAACACCAGAGGCGAAAGCGGCAUCCUGGGCCAAGCCUGACGCUGAGGCGCGAAAGCGUGGGGAGCGAACCGG
rnacentral:rRNA from 1 species